GGGGAAUUUUGGACAAUGGGCGAAAGCCUGAUCCAGCCAUUCCGCGUGAGUGAAGAAGGCCUUCGGGUUGUAAAGCUCUUUCGGCAGGAACGAAACGGUGAGGGUUAAUACCUCUUACUAAUGACGGUACCUGAAGAAGAAGCACCGGCUAACUACGUGCCAGCAGCCGCGGUAAUACGUAGGGUGCGAGCGUUAAUCGGAAUUACUGGGCGUAAAGCGUGCGCAGGCGGUGACCCAAGUCAGAUGUGAAAUCCCCGGGCUUAACCUGGGAACUGCAUUUGAAACUAUGUCGCUAGAGUGUAGCAGAGGGGGGUAGAAUUCCACGUGUAGCAGUGAAAUGCGUAGAGAUGUGGAGGAAUACCGAUGGCGAAGGCAGCCCCCUGGGUUAACACUGACGCUCAUGCACGAAAGCGUGGGGAGCAAAC
rnacentral:rRNA from 1 species